rnacentral:rRNA from 1 species
GGGUAGGGGAGCGUUCUGUAAGCCUGCGAAGGUGUGCUGUGAGGCAUGCUGGAGGUAUCAGAAGUGCGAAUGCUGACAUAAGUAACGAUAAAGCGGGUGAAAAGCCCGCUCGCCGGAAGACCAAGGGUUCCUGUCCAACGUUAAUCGGGGCAGGGUGAGUCGACCCCUAAGGCGAGGCCGAAAGGCGUAGUCGAUGGGAAACAGGUUAAUAUUCCUGUACUUGGUGUUACUGCGAAGGGGGGACGGAGAAGGCUAUGUUGGCCGGGCGACGGUUGUCCCGGUUUAAGCGUGUAGGCUGGUUUUCCAGGCAAAUCCGGAAAAUCAAGGCUGAGGCGUGAUGACGAGGCACUACGGUGCUGAAGCAACAAAUGCCCUGCUUCCAGGAAAAGCCUCUAAGCAUCAGGUAACAUCAAAUCGUACCCCAAACCGACACAGGUGGUCAGGUAGAGAAUACCAAGGCGCUUGAGAGAACUCGGGUGAAGGAACUAGGCAAAAUGGUGCCGUAACUUCGGGAGAAGGCACGCUGAUAUGUAGGUGAAGUCCCUCGCGGAUGGAGCUGAAAUCAGUCGAAGAUACCAGCUGGCUGCAACUGUUUAUUAAAAACACAGCACUGUGCAAACACGAAAGUGGACGUAUACGGUGUGACGCCUGCCCGGUGCCGGAAGGUUAAUUGAUGGGGUUAGCGCAAGCGAAGCUCUUGAUCGAAGCCCCGGUAAACGGCGGCCGUAACUAUAACGGUCCUAAGGUAGCGAAAUUCCUUGUCGGGUAAGUUCCGACCUGCACGAAUGGCGUAAUGAUGGCCAGGCUGUCUCCACCCGAGACUCAGUGAAAUUGAACUCGCUGUGAAGAUGCAGUGUACCCGCGGCAAGACGGAAAGACCCCGUGAACCUUUACUAUAGCUUGACACUGAACAUUGAGCCUUGAUGUGUAGGAUAGGUGGGAGGCUUUGAAGUGUGGACGCCAGUCUGCAUGGAGCCGACCUUGAAAUACCACCCUUUAAUGUUUGAUGUUCUAACGUUGACCCGUAAUCCGGGUUGCGGACAGUGUCUGGUGGGUAGUUUGACUGGGGCGGUCUCCUCCUAAAGAGUAACGGAGGAGCACGAAGGUUGGCUAAUCCUGGUCGGACAUCAGGAGGUUAGUGCAAUGGCAUAAGCCAGCUUGACUGCGAGCGUGACGGCGCGAGCAGGUGCGAAAGCAGGUCAUAGUGAUCCGGUGGUUCUGAAUGGAAGGGCCAUCGCUCAACGGAUAAAAGGUACUCCGGGGAUAACAGGCUGAUACCGCCCAAGAGUUCAUAUCGACGGCGGUGUUUGGCACCUCGAUGUCGGCUCAUCACAUCCUGGGGCUGAAGUAGGUCCCAAGGGUAUGGCUGUUCGCCAUUUAAAGUGGUACGCGAGCUGGGUUUAGAACGUCGUGAGACAGUUCGGUCCCUAUCUGCCGUGGGCGCUGGAGAACUGAGGGGGGCUGCUCCUAGUACGAGAGGACCGGAGUGGACGCAUCACUGGUGUUCGGGUUGUCAUGCCAAUGGCACUGCCCGGUAGCUAAAUGCGGAAGAGAUAAGUGCUGAAAGCAUCUAAGCACGAAACUUGCC